GGGAGUUUGGCCGAGUGGUUAAGGCGUUGUGUUUAGGUCUUCUCCUUUGGGAAACCUUAUAAACCCGCAAUGGGAAACCGCGCAGGUUCGAAUCCUGCAGCUCUCA